rnacentral:rRNA from 1 species
CACCGGCGGCUCGAGUGGUGGCCACUUUUAUUGGGUCUAAAGCGUCCGUAGCCGGCUUGGCAAGUCCCCUGGGAAAUCUGGCGGCUUAACCGUCAGGCGUCCAGAGGAUACUGCCAGGCUUGGGACCGGGAGAGGUGAGAGGUACCUCAGGGGUAGGGGUGAAAUCUUGUGAUCCCUGAGGGACCGCCAGUGGCGAAGGCGUCUCACUAGAACGGGUCCGACGGUCAGGGACGAAAGCUGGGGGCACGAACCGG